CACGCCGUAAACUAUGGAUGCUAGCUGUUACGAGUAUCGACCCUCGUAGUAGCGAAGCUAACGCGUUAAGCAUCCCGCCUGUGGAGUACGAGCGCAAGCUUAAAACAUAAAGGAAUUGACGGGGACCCGCACAAGCGGUGGAGCGUGUUGUUUAAUUCGAUGCUAAGCGAAGAACCUUACCCAGGCUUGACAUCCUAGGAAUUUCUACGAAAGUAGAGAGUGCCUUUUGGAGCCUAGUGACAGGUGU
rnacentral:rRNA from 1 species